UGUGAAUGGAGACUAGCCUGCUGGUAGAGACCUUGGCAGUGACCGCCGUGGGCAAUGAGCCAUGGGCCAACAAUAUUCAAUGCUGUGUACCUGAUGGAUGGUUACUGUCUGAGACCGAGGCUUUUUGGGCCAGGAGUAAAAGGACUUGGUUUGUACUUGAUUGCAUCCUGUGGAUGCUUGCCUACCAACUGACUCAUCCUGACGUGCCAAAGGUCCUGGCUUUCCCCUGUGUGGGUAAGGGAAGAAGAGAGUUCUAAUGAAGACUAUAGCAGACUGAAAUACUCUCUGAGAUGAGGACUUUGCUAUUGCCAUUGUAGAACCACUGGUGGAAGUUGUUGUUAAACAGUGGGUCUUGCAUGCAAGCUCUACAGUUAUGCACAGUAUUUCCAUGACAUCCCAAGCCAUGAGGUUCAUGCUGCCAUAUCCCCCUGUUUAACAAGUGUGGAAACUGAUAAUGGACUCACAAUUGCUGAUGUAUAGGUUCCAAUGUUUUCUAUUGUGGACACUGGACACCCAGACUGAGAACCAAUGGCUCCAGUCUGAUUUAAACAUGGGUCCGUGCUCACACACUCAAUACCUACCCUCUGUGCUCACAAGUCCUGUGUGAGUAAGACUCCAAAUUAUUCUGUCUUGUUUUACUCAAUGGUAUGCUCUACUUAUUAUAGAGUAUACCAUGUAUUGAGACAAGAAUGCCAGUCAUUCUGAGAAACAAAAUGCAACCAUUAGUUGUCAUUUUAAUUAGUGACGAAUAGUUGUGUCGAUCAUCAAACAUGCUUGUAUAAUUGGAUGAGAAGAGGUGUAACACGGGCCAAUGAUGACGAGGUUUCGGGAUUAUAAGUCACGGACGAUGACUACGUCACUAGAGGUCUGAGGUCCAUAGCAGAAGAUGCCUCAUGUGACCCUCUCAUGCAGGGGUUGCAUGUCAGGCAUGUGCAUACAGUAGAUAUUAGCCAUGCACUCUCACCAUUUCAUAGUAGAUCACAGAAUCAAGAUACAAAUCUCCAUGCAUGGAAAGG
ensembl:processed_transcript Rian RNA imprinted and accumulated in nucleus